GAAUCAAAUCGAAUCGCAUCGAGUCGAAAGUCGCUCUCUCGCUCGCCGUCGGGCAUUUCUCGUGAACACUCGGGUAGUCACGUAAAUCGCAUACCUCGUGUUCUCCCUCUGAUUACGUAAACGGAUCGGGAACAAACGUAUUACUUAAUCGUGCGAUUCUGCAUAAAUCACGACAACACGAUUCAAGGAACUGCGUGUCUCGAAAUGAACCUUAGGUAUCGAAGCGCAAACAAUUUCUCCGACUUUCAUUUCACAGUGGUACGACCUCUAGCGACAGCUAACAAAAAAUGUAUUUAAACUAGUAUCGAGUUACAACGAUUUAUCGAUGCUUUUUUAAUGGCGGUUUCAAAUUUCCUUCGGUAUGUUUACAGUUGGAGAAGAGUACGGUUAGUGCACAAUAUAACUCACAAGUUAACCUAACAUUUUUAUAAAUAAUGUAGAAGAAUAAUAAUUGAAGAGUUGGACUAGAAAGCAGGUAUCGAAAUAUCGAACGCAAUACACGUCUAGUAAUAGUUACAUCACUAUACAAAGCCUAAUGAAGAAUUUGCAAGAAACUGUUGCGUUUUCGUCACGAAUGAGACCACAGGAUAAUAGACGGUACAUAGAUGGCAGUAUUACGAACUAAACUCACCGAGUGUACGAUGGAAUUUACAUCACUUCCGAUUAUCGGUUCUCUGUACAAGCACGAAAAAAUGGUGCAUCAAUGAGGUUAUAACCAUAACUGUGCAUACGGUGCGGGCUCACGUAGACCGAAACGAAAUGCACGUUACAGUUGAGAAAUAAUCUAUUACUCGACCGAUUUUGGUCAGUGAAACUUUUUGUUUUACGGAACUGUUAUUCGUAAGAAUAAUUUCUGUGCCUUCUGGCAGGUAUUGCGUCAAUAACGGAGUCUCCCGGAAGUCGAAGCGAUCAAUUCCGUGAAAUAAAAAGUAGAGAAAAUCAACGAUGCUAUACUGGACUUAACGCUUCAACGAGCACGUAUAAUACUUUUUCCUCUACAUACAAUUACACGUGUACACUCAUGCAAUUUCCAAAUAUAAAACCUUUGUACUUAUAAAAAUCACUCUUCGAAUAAAUUACAAUUUGCAGGUAAACAGAAUGAUCGUGACGCACGACGAAAUUCAAUUAAAAUGUGGAUCACAGUUUGACUAACAAACCUAAUAUUUACAUAUGUGAUUGUACAACAAAAAGGAGAUCAAAGGCAAACCGGUACGCAACCGGUCAUUGUAUGCCACCUGAUAACAGAGCUGAUACGAGCGCAAUGCAACCCAGAUUUACAAAUCAAGGCCACGACUAUUUGUUCACACCUGACGCACAAAAAAGGUAAUCGACGGUGAAAGUGUAUGCACAUCUUGGAGUGCAUAUAAGCUGCAAGAAAAAUAUGAAUGAAGGUGACCCGCAAAACCUAUUGGUUACACGUGCCUAAACUAGAUAAGAUAGUGCUCGACUUACUGAUAACGCACUGACAUUGUUUGCUUAUUUUAAUUAUGACAUUAGAAACGCUGUCGGCUUGCGUAAUGAUCUACUUAAAGCUACUAUUAAUUAAUUGACUAAUGAUCCAACAAGCUAAUCAGUUAUUCCAAAAUUAUCUGCCUUAAUGAAUAAUUAUCAGUGACUGGAAUUAUAAUUGCAAUUUAAUGGGUACUUACCCGGCUUACACAAUACAUUACACUGAUAUAGUUAAUAUAAUUCUACUAUAUUAAUAUUGUCUGUCACAGUAUGCUGAGUCAGUAGUAUUACAAGGUAGAUUAUAGCAAUAAAUUAUUACAAAGUAUAUCUAUGCCAGUGUGUUACAGUAUACGGACAUGCAAUGUCUAAUACCAGAGUACAGAUGGUCGUCUACAAACUUCGUGGGUUAACGGAUUGCCCAGCAGCGGUAAAAGGACCAUUUUUACACGUAACACGGGCGUGUCGCAGACGUUUACAUGUGCGUGCUCGUGAAACCGCAGCAGCUGCUUGUACGCUUGGAAAAAAUAAUAUAAACCCGCCACAAUGUGCUCGAAUGAUACAAAGACCUCGAAACGGCGCUAGAAAGGUCACGCACGAGUGUUUACACGGGUCUAAAUUACGUUCUACUGUGGUUCGUAAUUGCGCGGGAAAUUAAGAUCGGGUCAAGUCGGGAAAAAUCGGAAAAGAUCGCGUGAAGGUAUCUUCUUACAAAUCCCUAAACUUUCGGGAACUGCAAAGGUCAAAUGUUUUACGUAACGAACAUGCUGUCAAAAGACCACCUGAUCGAUUCUUGGACAAACAAGGGAUUCGCAACGUUCGUAAGCAGCGAGAAACCAGAAAUACUAAAAGGGAAAUUUUAAACACACCGUCUUGCUCAAAACGACCACCUGCUACCGCUCUCUAUUUAACUUAUUCUUUGCAGAAAAUUUUAUGCAAGAUGAAUGAAAAGGAAAGAAAGUUAUUGUGAAAGCAUUAAGUAUUAAUUUUUUUUAAUGUCGUGCACUUCAGCGUCAAAACAUGGAUGUCAUGAUAAAUUAAAUUCCUUACAAGUUUCCAAAUAUUUUGAUUAUCACGAGACGCAAGAUUACGCUUGUUUUAAUAUCAUUUUUUACGAAAUCAAACACAAAUCGAGAACAGGUAAGCGAUUUCAAACGUGCUUUUUGAUAACAAGUGUUUAUGUUCGCCUUUACAGCAAAAGUGGAUCAAAAUGUCAAGAGAAUUCUGCUUUCAAGAAUUUAGAAAUAUGGUGUGAUUAAUCAUCGAUACGAUGAAAAAAUAAAUUCGAAAUUUACGCCAUUACCAUGCGCAGCUACGAUAGAUAUUUACUUAUCGUGAAAUCUCAAGAUUUCUAUUUCGCUAGCAAACAUAGACUAUAAGAACGUUUCACGAUGAUAAGCAUCCCGUGAAAUCGUGAAGCAAUAACACAUAUUUACAAUGUGACGUACAUUUACUGUUUCGACUUAUGUUUGAUAAUGCGAUAAAAUGUUUCAUGAUUCCUAGAUUACAGUAGGAAACUCAUAGAAUAUACAUAAAAUAUUAGUAACGCAUCGAACUACGACAAUUCGAACAAUGAAGAUGAAGAAAUAUAAGGUGUAUUUCCAUCGAUAAUAUUUUUAAAUAAAUGGCGCGAAAUAACCGCAUUUCAAAUAA